UGCCGCCGCUCGAUACAGAAAGUGGAUCGGUGCCGCGAGCGAUACAGAGGAGGGGAUCCAAUCGAUGCGCGCAUGACGUGGGCGACGCGUCUUCUAACGGGAGCCAGCCGACCCGCCGAAGGAAAUUCAGCAGACGCGCCGGUGCAGUUGGGGAUCCAGCGGAUGCGCGCGAUGCGGGUGACUCAGGGGCCGCUCUAUCCAGUCGACGAGGGGACGCAAGCUGGCCGACGCCUCGUCUGAUCUAAAACGCUCCGUUGAGACUUGAAAGCUGCAACGAUACUUCAGUUUCUGCGUCCAUUCAUGGCGGGUGAUGUGCCGAUCCUUUUCGCUGCCGAGGGGUAGUACAUCUAUAUAUAUUCUUCCUUCCCUAUCAAUCUCCGCUCACCUUUUCCACUCCGGCAGCACAUCUUUCAGCAAGAUGCUCGGGUAGGUUUCUCUAAAUUUCUUUCACUUCAUGUAUGAUUCAAUGUUGCACCAACCAAAUACAUGCCUGUACAUCAGGGCGUUGGUUCCUCCCCUGCAGCACAAUAUCCAUCAGGGCGUUGCUUCACUAGGUUCCUAUAUAUUUUCUUUCCUAUUCAUGUAUGAUUCCUUCUUUCACCAAACAAAUACAUUGUCCUCAUAUCCUCUCAAUCCUAAAUUUUUAUAGGUGUUGUUCAUAUUGGCCAUGGUCAAUCCAUCUGGGCAGAUCUUGCAGAAUGGUGCCUGCUCUUCAUACAUCUCGCACUCUGUUGUCUCAUUGUAACGCAGAAAAACCGCUGAAAAGGUUCAGUUAUGUUGCGUGUGGGUGUGCAUGUCGCCACAUUCAGAGCUUCAAAGAAGCAGCCUCAGGAAGCUAUAGCUUGCAUGGAAGGAGUCUGGCGCCGUCCGUUUCAAGCCUACCAGUGAUCGGAUCGCCGGGAGACAUUAAUUGAGAUGUUGAGGAUCUGAAAACGUAUGGACCAGCAGAUCUUCAAUUGCAAGGGUAUUAGAAAAACAAGAAAACAAAACAACUUAGGCUGCUACCAGGCUAAGGGUGGUGCUGAUUAUUGACAUUAAAAGUAAUGAAGAUGCACAUAUUCUGGUUUAGUAGAGACUAGAGAGGUGUCAAGUGUGGUGUUUGCAAGAUCUGCAACCUCUCGUGUUGAGAGUUACAUCGCACGAUUUUAAUACUACCUCUUAACC